rnacentral:lncRNA from 1 species
GAUGUGACGCACGAGCUCUCGCACACACCUUAAUGUUUCAAUCAUGCACUUCAAGCAAUCUGCGUUUGUAGGAACCGUGCUCUUAAUAAAAACCCGUGCAACCCAAAGCAGUGGUUUUGGCAGAGGAGUGACAGCGCUGUGAUAGAUGGGCCCGAUAGUUGUGUGUGUUGUGCUUGCUCGGAGUUAGUAGAAAAGAGGAGGGAGAGAGCGAGCGAGCGAGAGGGGGGAAAAAAAAAAAAAAAAAAGACAGGGAAGGAGAGAGCGAGAGGGAGAGAGAUUGAGAGAGAGAGAGAGAGAGAGACUUGGCAAAGGAAAUCUUAUGGGUAUACUGAAACAGCAGAUCAGAAUUGUGAAACCAGAGCCAGGGCUGAAAUGUGAUGCUUUUGCUCUUUUGUGCUUGUUGUGGUUCUCAUCUUCCCAUUUAGAAGGCUGCAUACCAUUCAACAGAAUAUUUUGAUCACAGAUUGAACAAUGCAGCAAUCAAGCCUGAUAAGCCACCUGGAAGUUUUGCUUGAGACGAUUUCUAGUGGGUUUUCUGAUCCCUGUGAGCAUCAUGACUGCCUUUAGCAUUGUGGAGGAGGACUCGAGUUUCUUAUGAGGGCCCCACUUGGAAAAGCAGGCUGUGCAGAUUCAAGCCUCCGGUUCUGUUCAUGCUGUUCAAAAGCCUUUCUUCACCCUUGCUGAUUUGUUUUUAUGAUUUACAUACACUCCCGUGGAGAUUUACAGAAUGGAUUGUCUGUGCAUUGUCACGACCAAGCAGAGCCAUGGCAGAUGCCCAUCCCACAAAAGCUCAGUCGAAACACCUGCCUGGAUACCCAUUCAGCACUCUACCGCGGUCCCAUGCCUUAAAUUUAGUAGGUGUGAACUCCAGUGUUACCCUGUACUCUGGUUGACCUAACGAAAAGGGAGAUGAGGAUACUUAGAAGCCUUAAUUGUUCCAAAGAUGCUUUCCUUCACUGAAGGGGGGAUUCACCAGAUUCCUAAGGGGAAAAAGAAGCAAAAACAAGAAAGGAGGAAAGAUGGCAAGAUAAUAAAGGAGAAAUGAUAAUAGGAAGGAAGAAAACA